GCCAGUGGGGUGCAGUGGUUUGAGUGUUGGACUACGACUCUGUAGAUCAGGGUUCGAUUCCCUGUUCAGUCA